AACGAACGCUGGCGGCAUGCCUAACACAUGCAAGUCGAACGAGAUCUUCGGGUCUAGUGGCGGCACGGGUGCGUACCGCGUGGGAUCUGCCCUUUGGUUCGGAAUAACAGUUGGAAACGACUGCUAAUACCGGAUGAUGACGAAGGUCCAAAGAUUUAUCGCCAGAGGAUGAGCCCGCGUAGGAUUAGCUAGUUGGUGUGGUAAAGGCGCACCAAGGCGACGAUCCUUAGCUGGUAUGAGAGGAUGAUCAGCCACACUGGGACUGAGACACGGCCCAGACUCCUACGGGAGGCAGCAGUGGGGAAUAUUGGACAAUGGGCGAAAGCCUGAUCCAGCAAUGCCGCGUGAGUGAUGAAGGCCUUAGGGUUGUAAAGCUCUUUUACCCGGGAUGAUAAUGACAGUACCGGGAGAAUAAGCUCCGGCUAACUCCGUGCCAGCAGCCGCGGUAAUACGGAGGGAGCUAGCGUUGUUCGGAAUUACUGGGCGUAAAGCGCACGUAGGCGGCUUUGUAAGUUAGAGGUGAAAGCCUGGAGCUCAACUCCAGAACUGCCUUUAAGACUGCAUCGCUUGAAUCCAGGAGAGGUGAGUGGAAUUCCGAGUGUAGAGGUGAAAUUCGUAGAUAUUCGGAAGAACACCAGUGGCGAAGGCGGCUCACUGGACUGGUAUUGACGCUGAGGUGCGAAAGCGUGGGGAGCAAACA
rnacentral:rRNA from 11 species